rnacentral:rRNA from 1 species
GAGUUUGAACCUGGCUCAGAACGAACGCUGGCGGCGUGGAUAAGACAUGCAAGUCGAACGAGAGAAUUGCUAGCUUGCUAAUAAUUCUCUAGUGGCGCACGGGUGAGUAACACGUGAGUAACCUGCCCCCGAGAGCGGGAUAGCCCUGGGAAACUGGGAUUAAUACCGCAUAGUAUCGAAAGAUUAAAGCAGCAAUGCGCUUGGGGAUGGGCUCGCGGCCUAUUAGUUAGUUGGUGAGGUAACGGCUCACCAAGGCGAUGACGGGUAGCCGGUCUGAGAGGAUGUCCGGCCACACUGGAACUGAGACACGGUCCAGACACCUACGGGUGGCAGCAGUCGAGAAUCAUUCACAAUGGGGGAAACCCUGAUGGUGCGACGCCGCGUGGGGGAAUGAAGGUCUUCGGAUUGUAAACCCCUGUCAUGUGGGAGCAAAUUAAAAAGAUAGUACCACAAGAGGAAGAGACGGCUAACUCUGUGCCAGCAGCCGCGGUAAUACAGAGGUCUCAAGCGUUGUUCGGAAUCACUGGGCGUAAAGCGUGCGUAGGCUGUUUCGUAAGUCGUGUGUGAAAGGCGCGGGCUCAACCCGCGGACGGCACAUGAUACUGCGAGACUAGAGUAAUGGAGGGGGAACCGGAAUUCUCGGUGUAGCAGUGAAAUGCGUAGAUAUCGAGAGGAACACUCGUGGCGAA